rnacentral:rRNA from 1 species
AUGGACGCACGGAUGAGGCUGAUAAUUCAGGCAGCAGCACUGAUUCGUGUGAUUCAGGCACGGGUCAUGUUCAUGCACCAGAGAGCUGCUCGUCGUGCUGGGAGACCUUUGAUCCGCUAUGGUCCAUUGUUUAUCCGGGAACAGGAGAGGAUCCAAAAUCUGAACUACAUCUACAACUGCAAUGACGUCGAGGCUAUGUGGAUGAUUCGAAUAAAAAGAGCACCAUUUGCCAGGCUUGUCGAGACCUUCAGGAGCAGGGGGCUGCUACAAGAUAACAUCAACACGAGUGUGGAAGAGCAAGUGGCCAUGUUCCUCCAUGUUGUUGGCCAUAACCAGAGGUUCAGGGUCAUUCACAACACGUUCAGGAGAUCAAUGAAGACCAUCUCUAGGUAG